UGAGAUGUCUGCUCCAAAUCUUUCCUUUAA
rnacentral:piRNA from 1 species